UUGCAGACUAUUCAGACUCCUCUCUUUUCUCCUUAUGGUAAAACAAGAUCUAGAAAUGUUCCGGUAUUAUGUAGUUAAACACAAUGAAUCAAGGCUUGCAGUUAUGAAUAUCAAGUUAUGAAGACUGCGUUGAUGUAUUCACAGAAAUCUAGUUUCACGCUCCUUAUCAGGUACUGUUCUUAGGCUGUGAGGAAUUUUUUAAAAGCUCUUCAAACACAUCAACCAUAUCUCAGUAUCUUUGUUUUUAUCAUUUUAUUCAACCAAAUAUAAUUUUAAUAUGACAUGAAAAUGUGACUGUUUUACCAUCCGCUUAUAUUUAUGGAUCAUGGGCAUUCCCAUACCAAUCCUAGUUUUCACAAAUGACAAAUGACUUCUGGAUUUUUCCUAUAAACCACAACAACUUUAUGCAAACGAUUCUCUCUUGAGUAGUAUUUCUGAAAAUUCGUUUCCUUAUUCCCAACAAUAAGCUGUAGCAAACUUCCAAUAGCAGACGGAAGUAAAAAAUGUGCUGCUAGAUUAUUUCUUGCCUUAAUAUGUAAUUGAAAACAGUUUUUGGCUAUUAUAGUGAUGUGAUUGGCAACCAGCCAACCACCAAAAUUCUAUUAAAUCACCAGUCAUCACAGCCACCACCAUCAAUCAUCUGUAACUGUUUUGUGUAUUAGACUGAAAGAGAAUCAGCAUCCUGGUUUUCCUUCCAGGAAAGAGGAAAAGGACAAAGAGAUCAUAAUUAGGUUAAUACUGCGCCGCUAUUCCCUGGACUUCAUCCAUUGGUGGAAACUGACAAGAGAUCAACGACGACUGACUGGCUGACGUGCUGUGAUUCAACAGUACUGCACACUUGCGUGCGUUCCUUCCGUCGCUCCGAGUUGUGCCUGCUCCAGCUACGCGUCCAGCAUCAUUCGACUACCCAACGGACCACUGGGUGGGUCAACCUUCACUGAUUCCUAUAACUGUUCUCAACGCAGCAUAGAGUUUUAAUCUUAAGAUUGUUGGAUGCAUCAUUGUUGCUGUGUGUCAUGGUGAUUUUUUUCGGGACGACGAGCUGAUGAUUUGGGAGAGGAAACUAUUGCGUGAGUAUUGAAUUUUUGUCUUUUAUUUUUGUUCUGUUUGUUGGUUCAAUCCUGGUUCAAUACUGAAGUAUUCAGUUGAGUCAAUUACUGAAGUAUUCUGCUUUGAUCGUUUUAAGCCCAUUUUUGUUAAUUUUUAGUUUUACUUUGUACAUUUCUAAUGAUCCAAUCCAAGCUGCUCACUUGUUAAUUAACCACAUUGAAAUUAUGAGUCAUUCCCGGUACUGCCAGCCUAUUUAAUGUUCAGUAAGUUAAAGUGAGCGUCCACUGAACGUCUGAUCCUGAAUAAAUUAAGAAUGCAAGUUAUCGUUUAUAUUCCUACAUUAUUCUUUUUCUGCUUGUAGUGAAUUUAAAUUUCAUACUUGUUUUAAUUUUUUUACUUCCAUUCCCACAUGACGAAUAUCUAUACCCGCUGUUUUUUGGCGUUACCCACAUUAAAUUUACUCAUUGUUUGGCAA